UUCUCCAAGUAGCUGAAGAAUAUAAGCAUCAAGAUAAUCUUGGUAUGGUGAUAUAACUACAGUAGUAAAAGGUACUAAUAUAGUAAUUACUAGAAAUGAUGGGGAAAACGGGCAGAAUAGCUGGGUAAAUCCUUUCUUUUGGACGAUGCGUGGAAUUUCUUCUUGAGAAAUUAGAAUACUUGUUCUUUACACCACUUCAGACUUCUUUAAGGCUUGCUUUUUUCAUUUGAAAUAGUCUUUUUAAAGAAUCACAGAGGGGAAAAAAUAGCAAAUGAUGUCAAAGUCAAGUGAAAUGCACAAUCCUUUGUGUGUCUACCAGUAUAUUCUAAUUACUUGAUCUUCAAAAAUAAAAAAUAAAAAAUAAAUGAUGUUGUAAUAUGAACAACUGGAAGAGAGAAUCAUCAGAAGAAACAUAAAGGCAAAAGAAACAUGGGCUGCAUUAAAAAAGCAUCUAUGUUUGAUAAAGAAGCUUACAAAAGAAAACAACUUCUUCCGGGAAUGUAAAGGUUUUAGCUCUGGAGCAGAAAGUUGGAUAUAGUUGCGGUAGGUGAAAACACAGAAAUGCAAAAGGAGAGUUCUCCUAGAGCUCAUGUAGCGGUUAUGGUGGGGUGAACGAACCCUGCUUUGCUUUUGGCUCAAAGCUUGCUUUCGCAGGCAUUUCUGGGGGUGGUGCAGUCACCAACCCUGGGGGUGUUCAAGAAACAUUGAGCUUUUGUACCUAGGGGUGUGGAGUCAUGGGACAUAUUGGUGAUAGGUGGAUGGUUGGAGCCCUUGGCGGUCAUUUCCAGCCUUGCUGACUCCCUGAGUCCUGUUUCUUAGCUCCAGAAUUCCACUGUCUCCUUCCCAAGGUUCAACAGGUAUUUGUCGACGGGGUGUAACGCCUCUCAUGCACGAAGAAGACAUUUGGGAAUUGGGAUGGAUUUUAUUGACAUGAUUGGUGACAGGGUGACAAUGGUGACAAACCCCUUAUGCUUGUGCAGACCCAAUGGUGUCCCGAUGAAGGGCCGCAGUGUGUUCUGGGGUCAGAAAAGAGCGGGCUUAGGUGGACGGAUGCCAAGGGCAGUCGCCAGCUCUCCAGGCAGGACCCAGCGAAGGAUGUCCUUCUGCAGCACAAACAGGGUGAAGAAGACAAGCUGCAGCAGGCCCAAGAACAGCAGAAACGCCCUGCGGAACAGAAGAAGGUCCAGUCAGAUUCCGGGGGCACGUUUGUCACAGCACUUUCCAUCCAGCCCUGGCAAAUGGCCCGUGGACAUGUGCCAUACAGGGAGCAAGGGAAUCUGUCGUAGGUCUGCGCAGGGCUGCCAAGAUCGCCACCCCACCUGCUCUCCCACCCAGGACCCUAAGCAAUAGUGAAGCAUUUUAUCUCCAAACAGUCAAAAGCUGCCUGAUGGUCUCUGGACCCCAGGGCGACUCACCGCAGCCAGGAAGUUACAAGUGGGUGCUUCUGUGCUGCCGCCUGCUCAUCCUAGAGGACAAAGCAAAGCAGGGCC
rnacentral:lncRNA from 1 species